rnacentral:antisense_RNA from 1 species
GAGGCAACCUGAAGUCAGGAUUCUUUCUUUCCUGCUGUGAGAGGGACGUCCCUCCUCCGUAGCUUUUGUCUCUCUAUUGCCUGCGCCGUGUCCUGGACUGCUCACGGGAGUUCUGCAGGAGACGCCGGAAUAUCUGGAAGCUGAAAAAUGGAAAUAAAUGGAAAGACCAGAAUAUUGAAGAUCACUACAGAAAUCUAAGGGUCAGGCGUGGUGGCUCACACCUGUAAUCCCAGCACUUUGGGAAGCAGAGGCAGUUGGAUCACUUGAACCUGGGAGGCGUUCUGGAGGUCAGGAGUUUGAGACCAGCUUGGCCAACAUGGUGAAACCCUGUCUCUGCUAAAAAUACAAAAAUUAGCCGGGCAUCAUGGCACAUGCCUGUAAUCCCAGCUACUCUGGAGGCUGCAGCAGGAGAAUCGCUUGAACCUGGGAGGCGGAGGUUGCAGUGAGCCGAGAUCACGCCACUGCUUCUUGCUUUAAAAGAAGAGUAAAGACAAGAGUGUUGGACCAGUAUUGCAGUUCUGUAGUAUCAUUUCUUAUAAAAAACAAAACAACAAUAAUUUAUCAAAAUUGGCAUAUAAAGACUGACAACAUUCUAAUAAAGGCACAAAUUUCUUUUUAA